rnacentral:hammerhead_ribozyme from 1 species
AUCCAGAUGACGAGUCCUGAAUAGGGCGAAAUGUACAUCCUGGAU